CCUACGGGAGGCUGCAGUGAGGAAUAUUGGUCAAUGUGCGGGAGCCUGAACCAGCCAAGUCGCGUGAAGGAUGAAGGAUCUAUGGUUAGUAAACUUCUUUUAUAUGGGAAUAACGUGAGGAACGUGUUCCUCUUUGUAUGUACCCUAUGAAUAAGCAUCGGCUACCUCCGUGCCAGCAGCCGCGGUAAAACGGAGGAUGCGAGCGUUAUCCGGAUUUAUUGGGUUUAAAGGGUGCGUAGGUGGUUAAUUAAGUCAGCGGUGAAAGUUUGUGGCACAACCAUAAGAUUGCCGUUGAAACUGGUUGACUUGAGUAUAUGUGAGGUAGGCGGAAUGCGUGGUGUAGCGGUGAAAUGCAUAGAUAUCACGCAGAACCCCGAUUGCGAAGGCAGCUUACUAAACUAUAACUGACACUGAAGCACGAAAGCGUGGGUAUCAAACAGGAUUAGAUACCCGAGUAGUC
rnacentral:rRNA from 1 species